rnacentral:rRNA from 1 species
AUUAGCUAGUUGGUGAGGUAACGGCUCACCAAGGCGACGAUCUCUAGCUGGUCUGAGAGGAUGAUCAGCCACACUGGGGCUGAGACACGGCCCAGACUCCUACGGGAGGCAGCAGUGGGGAAUAUUGGACAAUGGGGGCAACCCUGAUCCAGCCAUGCCGCGUGUGUGAAGAAGGCCUUCGGGUUGUAAAGCACUUUCAUUGGUGAGGAAGGAUGUUAAGUUAAUACCUUAAUAUAUUGACGUUAACCAAAGAAGAAGCACCGGCUAACUCCGUGCCAGCAGCCGCGGUAAUACGGAGGGUGCGAGCGUUAAUCGGAAUUACUGGGCGUAAAGGGCAUGCAGGCGGUUACAUAAGUCAGGUGUGAAAUCCCCGCGCUUAACGUGGGCAUUGCAUUUGAAACUAUGUAGCUAGAGUUCUGUAGAGGGGGGUAGAAUUCCAGGUGUAGCGGUGAAAUGCGUAGAGAUCUGGAGGAAUACCGAUUGCGAAGGCAGCCCCCUGGACAGUGACUGACGCUCAUAUGCGAAAGCGUGGGGAUCAAACAGGAUUAGAUACCCUGGUAGUCCACGCUGUCAACGAUGUCGAUUUGGAGGUUGUGGCUAUAAGCUGUGGCUUCCGAAGCUAACGCGUUAAAUCGACCGCCUGGGGAGUACGGCCGCAAGGUUAAAACUCAAAUGAAUUGACGGGGGCCCGCACAAGCGGUGGAGCAUGUGGUUUAAUUCGAUGCAACGCGAAGAACCUUACCUACUCUUGACAUCCAGCGAAUCCUGUAGAGAUACGGGAGUGCCUUCGGGAACGCUGAGACAGGUGCUGCAUGGCUGUCGUCAGCUCGUGUUGUGAAAUGUUGGGUUAAGUCCCGCAACGAGCGCAACCCUUAUCCUUUGUUGCUAGCGGUUCGGCCGAGAACUCAAAGGAGACUGCCAGUGAUAAACUGGAGGAAGGUGGGGAUGACGUCAAGUCAUCAUGGCCCUUACGAGUAGGGCUACACACGUGCUACAAUGGGGUAUACAAAGAGAGGCGAGCUCGCGAGGGUAAGCGGAACUCAUAAAGUACCU